rnacentral:rRNA from 1 species
GACGAACGCUGGCGGCGUGCUUAACACAUGCAAGUCGAGCGGUAAGGCCCUUUCGGGGGUACACGAGCGGCGAACGGGUGAGUAACACGUGGGUGACCUGCCCUCAGCUCUGGGAUAAGCCUGGGAAACCGGGUCUAAUACUGGAUAUGACUCCAUGACGCAUGUUGUGGGGUGGAAAGCCUUGUGCGGCUGAGGAUGGGCCCGCGGCCUAUCAGCUUGUUGGUGGGGUGANGGCCUACCAAGGCGACGACGGGUAGCCGGCCUGAGAGGGCGACCGGCCACACUGGGACUGAGACACGGCCCAGACUCCUACGGGAGGCAGCAGUGGGGAAUCUUGCGCAAAUGGGCGAAAGCCUGACGCAGCGACGCCGCGUGA